rnacentral:tRNA from 1 species
GCAGGCAUAGCUCAAUUGGAUAGAGCGCACCCCUCCUAAGGGUGAGGUUGUAGGUUCGAGCCCCACUGCUUGCACCA